GACAGAGGUGCCGAGCGUUAGGCGGAAUCACUGGGCUUAAAGCGUGUGUAGGCGGACGGGUAAGUACCUUGUGAAAUCCCACGGCUCAACCGUGGAACUGCUGGGUAUACUGCCUGUCUUGAGUCAUCUAGGGGCGAGCGGAACAAAUGGUGGAGCGGUGAAAUGCGUAGAUAUCCGGAGGAACACCGACGGCGUAGGCAGCGCCCUAGACGAGACCUGACGCUCAGGCACGAAAGCGCGGGGAGCGAACAGG
rnacentral:rRNA from 1 species